AAAGUCGUAACAAGGUCUCCGUUGGUGAACCAGCGGAGGGAUCAUUACCGAGUCUCGUGCUCACCCAAACCACUGUGAACCUACCCGUUGCUUCGGCGUCAUCCCGGACGGCGGCGCCGGGGACCCCAAACUCUGCAUUUGAAUGGUAUCUCGGAAAAACAUACAAGCAAAUAAAACUUUCAGCAACGGAUCUCUUGGCUCUG
rnacentral:misc_RNA from 1 species